UGUCUUUAUACCUGUUGGAGGCAGAUUUUGUGGAAAUAUGAUCGUCAAUGGCUAGGCAUUGAAACUGUUUGCUUGCAGUGUUGAAGUGGACCACCUCUGAACUCAGCAGACUGACUGGCUGUUCCAAGGGAGAUAUUUACCACUGGCUUAUCCCAUUUGAAGAUGUCACUCAGAGUUCAUUCAAGUAGAGGGAAUUGUGUGGUUGUGCAGAAAUCGCUUUCAGGAGUUCAAUGUGUUCACUGGGCUGAAAAGAAUCACCCUCCUCACCACUUUCCUCAAAAGAGCAGGACAAGUGUUUUUCUCUCACACUCAGUCUUGAACAAGACUGUCGGGGCUUGGAGCAAGAUGCCUCCCUCUGUCAGCUCAGCUGUUCUGGGCAUACAUCACCACAUCCACCAAGAAAUGUCAGGGGCUGGCAGGGCUUGAGAGGCCACACUGGCUCCACUAGAUGCUUUUACCUGGGCACUUUCUGCUGACUCUCCCAGACGCUGACUGUCUCCAGGGCUGCAGCCCUGGGAGCCUCAGGACCACCAUGAAAAUGCCAUCUUGAGAAGGAGGGAGGGGAAGAAAGGAGCAUGCAGGAGACUCCAUAAGAAGUGGACCCAUUUUUGUCAACAUGGGGAGAGGCACAAGGCGAUCAAGGCCAGCCGCUGUGUGACAGCCACGUGUCUGCGGGCUCUUCUCUGUGGAAUCCUUGUGGGUAUUACCCCAGGAACAAGAUGGGACAUAAAUCCUUCCUGCUCUUUUCCCAACUGCUUUCAACACAUCUCUUGCCUAGAAAGGUUGAACAGAUUGUUCCAAAAGCAUAAAAGGCAAGAAGUACCAGGGUGUUAUCCAUUUCAGUUUUACUCCUGAAUUUACUGUUACCUAAGAAGAUACAAUCUCCAGGCUUUCUGCCAGUACCCUGGAACUUCCCCAGUGUUUCAAGACGCAUAGAAAAUGAACAUUACUGAUGCAGAGAGCUGUUCAUCAGCUCUUCUGAAGUUGCUGAUUUCAAGUUUUCCGGAUUGUAGAAGUCUGGAGAGAGUAGCUGCUCGUUAGCAUCAACUUUGGCUUCUUUUGGAAAAAAAAGGAUUUCUGUACAGCUUUGAAAAUCUGUGUGUGCUCAGCCUUUUCCCCAAGUACAGAGCAGACACUUUGACUGACCACUUCUGCCUUUUUUUACAUUCCUUCUACUGGUGGCCAAGGGAAGUGGGAAAGAUUCCUUAAAAUCUCUUCAUGGCUGACAGUGUUGACCUCUUUCUGAAGAGGCCAAUCUGCAGAACUGGGAGAAUUUAUGUGGCUAAAAACAUGCACAUGUGCCCUCACCUGAUACGAUCCUGGCAGGGAUCAUAUACAUCAUUCCAAUGACUCCACAGAACAAAAGCCUAGUCAGCUUUUCUCUAAUAUUCAGAUCAUUCCAGUUUGGAUCAAGAUACCUACACAGAUUUUCAUGCACCAGUUCAUUAUUUGUUAGAAGUUACUUGUGGCAAAUCUAAAAGAUAAAACAUGAAUAACACUUUUUUUUUUCUAAAGGGAUUUUUUUUUAUUGUUCUUUUUUUUUCUUCCUGAAAACUACGCUGCUGACCUGUCACUGAACCUUCAUUCAUCUAUACUGCAUGUACUGCAUGCACAUACUGUAAAAUGGUGGCAAGUAUUAAAUAUUCAUCUUUUUCUCCAAAGCAAAGCUGUCUGAAAAGACUCUGCUUAAAUCUUUGCUGUGCUUAGAGCUUGUGCUCACAAUGAAAAGGGAAACUAAGACAAAUACCGCACACGUCACCACUGUUACUCAUAAAUACUAACAGUGUUAUAUUCACAGAGGGUAAAAAAAUACAGCUCUUUUUAAAUGGUUUCAGAAUCAUUCUGAAGUACUGCAAUAUAAGUUCCCUUUAGGAGCGGAGUAAGUCUUUGCUUAUGGAAGUUUUGUAUAUGAAUUGAGUGGCCAUUUGAAUUAAAUUCCAUUUAGCAGAGCUGAUGAAGGGGCAAAGGAAGUUGCUAAAAAUCUUCACUGCAAGAGGGCUUUGCUUCACUGUGUGUUUGAAUUAGUAGCAUCCACACUCUCACACCACUCAUAGCAACAUGUAUGGUUAACAGGAGCUGUGGAUAAUGGAUUUAAUGAGCCGCUGCCGCUCUCUCAAGUGAGAGUUGCUAUUUUGCUGCUUAAUAGCCAUCACACAUUUAUUGAACUAGACCUGUGAGCCAUAAGGUGUUUCUGCUCUGUGAAGAGUAGUAGGAAUCAGCAACAUGGAGAUACUGCUUAAGAAAAGAAUAAGAAAAAAAAAAUAGCCUGAUUUUUUUCAAAAAUAAUAUUUAUGGUAAGAUGUGCAACGGAACAGGAAAUUUCACCAGCUGAGAUAAGGUGGCAGAAGAGCAGAUUGUAAUGGAAAACCUGUGCAGCCUGACAUGCUGCUUUAAUGAUGACUUGAACACUAGAAAGUGUGGCAGGAGCAUGUGUCUGCACACCUAUACUCCAUUCACAUUUUAUUUUUUAUUAUAUUUUUAUGCUGGAAUUGUGCGCAGAAUCCCCAGCUGCAACCUGUCUUAAUGCUACAGUGCACACAGACACCACUGGAGAGAAUCUAAUGUUGGGAAGAGGAGAAGGAGAGGAGGAGAGGAGUGGCCUUAUUACAAAGCUGAGGAGAUGCCUCGUUAUCCUCACCUCCCCAGGAAGAACCAGCAGUUACACUGCUCAGAUAAUGCUCAGUGCUGAGUGGCAAUGAAUGAAACAGAUCAUUACUAGAUGGUUGGCUGCAAGAGAUGCUUAGGGAAAAAGAUAUCUCAGGACACAAAGAGAAAAAUUUCACUGACGAGAAUUUUUUCCUUGUUAUUUAAGCAGUGUCCAGCACAAUGAGCCUCCCUGAUGUGGUUUUGUGUUGUGUGACAAUGUAAAUGUUUACCACUGCUGCUGAUCAUCAUAACUAUAGCCAGUGUAAUUUACAGCAAUUGAAAGCACACAGCUGCCAGACCAUGAAAUGGUUUGAACUAUACAGUGUCUGGUGUGCUUGUGGUGCUAAUGGUAAUGUGAUGUGCCUCAGUGGCUUUUUGAAAGGUCUGACUGUAGGAACUUGCGCACUCUGUACUGAUGGGCAGUGGCCUGAGAUGGGAAAACAAAUCUGUAUUCAACAGAAAGGUGUCUUUCAGAGAGCAAAACUUGGGGUAGGAGUCCUGCUGUUUGCUGAGGCUCCCUUUGGAGGCUGUGUUGUGGAUCUGUAUGUAUUUGGCUUCUAAAACGCUCAAUGUAGCAACAGAGAAAAUGGAGGCAUCUAGCUUGCAGACUUGGACAUGGAAGCAGGGCACAUGACUGGGCAGAGCUCAUCUCUGCCAUGGAAGUGAAAUGAGUGUGGAUGUCCCAAAGCCAGAGUCAGGCAGGAACACUUCUGGUGGCACAAUCUUUGGGGAAGAGAGCUGAAGGCCUAAGAUCACUGACGGAUCUAAUGAUAUAGAAAUGCUCUCCAAGCAACCAGUCUUUCUUCUUGCAGGCAGGCAGUUCCUGUCUGACUUUCCACUGAGAAUUUAUGAGGGUGUUAUUUUCUCAUACAGAUAACUAAUCUCAAAUGCUCAGUCACCAAAUGAUGUGCUGAUUUCUUGAUACUCAUGUCUGAAAAAUUUGGCCUUUGGGCCUCUUGUUCUCACUAAGACUGAAAUAUUAUUUAUUCCAUCAUGCAAUUGUAAGUAUAAAUAUCUGCAAAUAUCCUCAAUAUUUGUAAACCUGCAUUUUGCAAUAUCGCAAAACUUGCAAAGUCUGCAAAUGCCCCAGAGCUUGAAGGGCAGAGAUAAUUAUAUUAUUACUUAAAAUGUUGAUGUACACAGGGCUACGCAGUCUCCUACAGUCUGAGUCAGAAGCCUCAAUGCUCUGUAUCCCAGACUUGCUGCAAAUUAAAUGUGAACGGCUAUGAACUUGAGUGGGUUAAGGCAUCAUGUUGUGCUGCUGUGGAGUUCGCUGCUAUUUAUCAUUGCCUCCCACUGUGAGGUUGGAAUAGGCAGACUGAAUGUCACGUACGCUGUAUUUAUAAUGCUGUUUUAAGGUCAUCUCCAUGUGCAGAUGCUCUAGACAGAGUGGCUGAUAAGUACAGAUGUGGUUGUUGCAAGGCACUAAAUAGACUGGAGAUGAUUAAUUUGUAAAAGCCAUAUUUCAGCCAAGAACACUGCUGUGGACAGUCUAUUACUGGCAACCUUCCAGUCACCAACAGCUGGCAAUUAACACUUACACAAAGAUGCCCAAACUUUGGCCAGCCAAAGGCUUCAGUGGCCAUUUGCCAGAGCUUUAGGGCUGUACCUAUUUUACAUAAAAUGGAGCAGAUUGAGGCAGAUUUAAUCUUUCUUAUGGAGCUGUGGCCCACAAAAGCUUUUGCUUCUGGCAUGCUUUGCUGUACCCUGAUCAAACCAUUGCCCCAUUGUGGAAUUCAAUGGGCCACAUUUAGCCUCAGGGUUGUAGUCCGGUUUUCCAUGAAUUACGUUAACUACUGACAAUAUACACAAAGCCUUUCAAUCCAAGUGUGGAAAUGCAGCAGUUAAUCACAUCCCUUUGUACAUGAAGAGAAGAGACUUUGCCAAGAUAUAAUACAUGUUCUGAUGAUAUAAUUUAACAGUAACUACUAACAGACUGCUAGUCAUUUGUGCUGAGCAUUACACACGAGGGAAAGUUUCUGACCUGCAAAUGUGCAGACUCAUAAGACAAGGAAUGAACUAUCAGAUGCACAUAAUUCUUGCUGAAGUAGAAGGCUGAGGAAGAGAAGAUCCCAGUCAGCAUGAAGGACAGAUGGCAGCUUCAGGCCACAUCACAUGAAGAAGGAAAGAGACUCUCUUGGACUACUUCCACUCCCAUUUCUGCAGCUGUCUCCCCCGUUGCAAAAGCCCUCUGCAGCAGUCAGUGAAGAAGAGGGUGGAUCUAUGAAACCUGGUUCUGAUCACUUGCCCUAGCUGUCUGUUUCCAAGAAGAUUUGUCUUUCUUUUCACCAGAAGGGCAAAGGAAACAUUGGGUUUAUAUCAGCUCAAGUUUUAUUCUCUUAACUGUGGUGAAGUCAGCAGAAACCCAGGGACCAUUCUCUCCCUUCUCUGACAUAACUCUGGGCAUAACUUGACCUGGCACCAGGGUGCUUAGAGUUGCAAAACUAUGUGCCAUGUGUCACUGCUUGAGAAAAAAGAGCCCAAACCCAUGCCUUGGCUUCUCUGUUCUUUAAACUUAGUUUCAUGAAGUCAUACUCUGGGGUCUCUGACUUGAUGUGAAUGAAAAGUCUUGCACUCUGUGAACUAGCCCAGCAUGAGCAGGAGAAAUGGAGACCAUCCACCUGCUGUCCCAUGUCCUGGAGCAGCCAGGAGCUUGGUGAUCACAGGGUUACUUUCACCCUCUCACACUGGAGAAUUAGUUGAAGGAUGGCUCCCAUUAACCAUGUGGGUGUUGUAACACUUCCCUUGUGUGAAAUGAGAUGUGGGCACUCUGCCCCAGCCAUAUUUUUGCAGAAAAGACUGGCACUCCUCCUCUCUCCUCUCUCCCCCAGCUGUCCUGUUGGAAGAGAUGCUUAACUGUCUAAAACAAAUGAGGAUUAUGGGCUGUGAAUCUUGGUCUGGAAGACUGACUUAUCUGCAGCAUGAAAAUAGAUGACUAAACUCCACAGUGGAGUACAAUUUAAGAAGCAAUCAUUUCCUUGGUGUUUCCUAUUGGCUGUACACCUCCUGGCCACCAAGCAGGCUGCUUUGGCAGUACUCUGGUUCUGGGCAGGGACCUACUUCCAGAGGGCUAAAGAUUCUACUCAGGGAAAAAGGUUCAUGGGGCUUUAGAAUCUGGCACUGUGCUCAGAGGUAUGCCCAGACUUGUAGUUAUGACAUCUGGGGCACUCUCAGUGUCCAGGCAUUCUCAUCUGGCUUCUGCUUGGCUUCCAGAGAGCACUGACAGUGCCAUCAUCUAAGUGUGUUUCUGCAUAUGGGCACUGCUCCUGUGUUUUCUUUCCUUUUUCCUUUGCUGUGCUGAAAUACACACAUUUGCCAUAUUCAGUCUAAAUGAAUGUAAAUUAGUGCAUAAAGGGACAGGGCACAAUCUUAAUUCUGUGUGCCCCAAAACUGACUCCGUUAUUUUUACCUUUCAAGAGUGAGACCUCAGUGAUAGAAGAGAGAGCGCUACUGAAAUGUCAGCUCAAUAUUUAGAGAGGUCAAGAAAGCAAAUUGAGCAUAAGCAACUAAGAGGAAAGAAAUAAGAACUCAUGAUCCUUUAUUAUUCCCAUCCAGGGUACGAUUAUAUUUUUUAUACUGUGUGCAGAUCUGUUGGCCCUAUCAGCCUCUAAACCAUGACAGAACAGAGAAGACUGCAGUCAUGAGAACUGAAACGACCCAAUGUAUGGAGGAUGUUAAAUACAAGAGGACUGUUAGCCUGGAUGGACAGCUUCAGAGGAAUGUUACAGAAGUAUGCAAAACAAUAAGAAGUAUAGAAAAGGCGAAUGGCUGAUGUUGUUCAUUACAUCUUGCAAUAUAAGAGCUCUGGGAUGUCGAGUAGAAUCACCUGGUGGUAGCUCAGGUCACAUGAAUGGAUCAUCUGUUUUACUCAUCACUUCAUGAUGUCCUUGACAAGCAAACUUUUGUGCCAAAUAAAACAAUAAGAAGAGAAAAACUCAUGGCAGGUGAUGAGUUGCAAGGAAACCACCAGUCACUCAUAAGUUGUGAAGGUGCGUGUCACUAGACAUGAAGAAAAAAUAAUAAUAAAUCAAGGCUCUAAUUCUGCA